CUAGGGCAGUAUUUCUAAUCCCCUAUAUCCUGUAAAAUAACCUAUCACUUACGGGAACCAUUGUCUACUUUGAUAUUUGAAGGAAUUAAUAACGCUGCUGCAUCUCCAUGCCAACAACAUAAGAUAUUAAGGUGCAUGCAAGGACAAAGCCUGAUUCCUAGAAGUUGGAGCAGAUCUCACCGGCAGAGUCGAAUCAUUCCUGUUGUUAGUUACCAUUAAAAGAAAUAUAUCUGCCCUACUGCCAAUUGGAAGUAAUCUGGAAAGUCACAGGUGGAUGACAGUGAUUAUGAAACCGAGGCGACUGUAGGAGUACAACAGCUUCACCAGGGCCGCCACCAAGCGGAGCCAGGUAGAGUAGAGGAGCCAGGCAAGAAACACAUCCAGCCGGCUCCAGACUGCUCUUAGCAGGCCACUCAGCUUUCCCCUGCUCCUCCUCCUUAUUGUCGUCUUCAGGGUUGAAAGCAUGCUCAAGCCAGCUUCCUGAUCCUGUGCUUUCCUUAUGAAUAGGCCAACACCGGUGCCAUGUGAUUUGAGGCUGCCUUUCUGAGGUCACUGAGCUGGGAGCUGGGGAAGAGGGACUUCGUUCUCUAAUGCCCUCGAGUUGCAUGGAAGGAGUUGUGCAAUAAUAAGCGCCUUUUAAUUGACUGGGCGGGGCCGGGCAGGACUGGGAGGGACUGACGGGGAGAUGAUGGCGGCAGGAAGCCAGGUACAGGAUGACAGAGGCAGGCUUGGCUCUAGGAAGGCAUAGAAGGUAGGGAAAUCACGGAGCUGAGGCAAACCUCAGGAAAGGUCUAAAAAUUGGCUAGGCAAACCGCGGACUAAGAUGUAGACAAUCAUCGGCUUUACAAUUUUGCCUAUAGCUAACCAUAUCCAGAUGUUCAAAAUUAUUUUGCUUUCAGUUUUUCCUCUCGGUGUUCUGUAUAUUUUUAUAAUGUGGUUUCCAUUUAUUAUAAGCCAAUUUAGGUAUUUCCCAACGCUUAUAUGACAAAAAAACUUAAUUAUUUUUAUAUCGUUCUAUUGAAAUUUUCGGUCUUUAAUAUUUUUAAUUUACCCUUAGCCCGAAGAGCCCUUUGAUCAUUAAGGUAAUAUUUGUGCAGUUAGGCAGGAACUAGAUGCUAGAGCAAAGGUGCUAGACCCUGCCUCUCAAGCUCUGAAGUACUAAGCUUCCAAAUGACAGAGCUGAGAAGAGCAAGGGACAGAUUUGUAUUGAAGUAAGAUGCACAUCUGGUUGUCAGACCUGUGGUGGCACUGAGUAUUUUUGAGUGCAAAGUUUUCAAAUGGCAACAGUAGGUUGAAAUUUAGCAUUAGGUUUUUCUGUCAGUGAUGUAGAUAUCUUGAAAGGAGACUAAUGGCAUUCGCAAUUGUAAUAUACGUGAUUGACUUUGUGGAACACUGUUCUCACCAAAACUUCUUAGCCAGGAUCCUGUUUUCCAGUAGCAGCUUUUUGGGGUGAGAUAAGCGAAUGAGAUAAAGGAAUGAAAAAGUUAAGAUAAGAAAGCAAAAAUCUUUUAUGUUCUCCAGAUAUGCUGGCUGUUUCUUGUAGUCUUAUACAAAAAAUAUGUCAAAGAUCCGAUUUAUGAAAAAAAGAAAAGACAAGUUAUGGUAAGGCCUAAAUAGCCUAAGGCCACUCAGUGUGCAAGGUAACGAGCUCUUAAUUUUUUUAAAUUUUAGAACUUAUAAAGUUAACAUCAGUCUGAAAUGAUAAUAUUAAGAAAGCAACAUAAGUAGCAUGUGAAAAAUCCUCUUGAACUAUAAAGAGGUAAAAUGUUUUUUAAAAAUAUUCUCACAGAUAACAAAUGAACUUUGAAAUGAUAUAGGGGAAUAUGAAAUCAAAUACAACUUAAUCAAAUACAACUCCGAGCUGCCAAGGAUUAGCUCCAGAAGGCGAAUUUCUCAGUGGGGAGGGGCAACUGAUUUACCUGCUACCUGCUCUGAGAAUUUCGUCUUCCCCUAUGGCCUUUUAUCACUGAGCCAGAAAGUAUACUUUUUUUAUGUAACAUUCUUGUUUUACUCUGCAUUCUAUUCUCCUCAGUUGUGAAGCUCUCUAGCAUUUCCUUCUGUUCUCAUUUACUUUUAUUCCUACUCAGGACCCCUCUAGUUCAACCUCAAAGGGAGCCAACCCCAAUUCUCUCAUAACCAGGCACCGGCCCUGCUCCGAGCAGCCAUUCUUAUUCCAUGUGACUUUGUUCUCUUUGGCUAUGGUUAUAACUGACUGAUUGAACUAGCAAGAUGCACCUUGUGUAAACUGGGCCUAUCGUCAUUGUUUUCUCAGGAAUUUGGAAUGGGGACAAACAGACCAUCUACGGUCUUAAUGUGCCCGGAACCUCGCAUAUGUGUGUUGGUAGCUGUGGGAGAGCUGUAGUCUGCCAUAUGCGACCUGAGAUCAGGGAAAGCCCAACAGCUGUGCCUCAGCCCCAGAGAGGAGCAGACAACAGGGCAAGAGAGAAGUGUGUGGGUUCCUGGUAGCCUUCUGGACCCAAUCUAUUCCAAACUUUCAUAGGACCUAACGAACGCUUUUACAAUACGGGACAGCCCUCUUUCUAAAAAAAAUAGAAAAUUAGAAAUAAAAAACUAGGUUUGAAUAUGCAUACUUACUUAGAAUGGGAAGUAAAUCACAAAAAAUGACAGAUUUUUAAAAGUUGAUCGUUACCCAGAAAUAUAAAAUAUACUAUCUUUUUUAUUAAUCAAGUGCGUGACACGCCUCUAAAAUAAUUUUUCUACAUUUUUUGGCUACAUACUCAUUGUCUUUUAAUGCGAUGAUGUCACGAUAUUAUUUUCUAUGGAGAGAAUAUAAAGACAAUUAAAUUUUUCUUCUAGCUUAGAAAAUUAAAUUUUUCCUACUGUCGAUAACUUAGAAUAAUUUCUAUCAGCCUCACAUCCUGUCAUUGGUAAUGUCAUAUCAGUUUCUAAGAUUGUUUUCAAUUUAUGGGAGUUUAUAUCAUGUUUCUCUCAUGGAAAAGAUGUCAGCACAUCCCAGUUUUCUCAUGCAGUGACUAAUGUUAAAUAGUCUUUAAAUUGAAAAUACUCAAGUAGUUUGCUAUUUAAUGUUCAGCGAGUAGUGAUUAUGAGUCUUAUGUCAUCUCUAUGGAUAUCACUAUUUAAUAUCAAA